rnacentral:rRNA from 1 species
GAUGAACGCUGGCGGCGUGCCUAACACAUGCAAGUCGAGCGAACACACGAGGAGCUUGCGCCCUCGCGGGUAGCGGCGGACGGACGAGUAACACAUACAUAACAUACCUCUUAGACGGGGAUAAUAACGGGGGACAGGAGCCACUAACGCAGCAUAUUUCGAACGGGUGGGAUCGGUGGUUCAACAGACCUUUGGUAAUUGUAAUAGCCGAACCCGGGUCGGAUUAGCUAGUUGGUAAGGUAACGGCUAACCAAGGCGACGAUGCGUAGCCGACCUGAGAGGAUGAUCAGCCACACUGGAACUGAGACACGGUCCAGACUCCUACGGGAGGCAGCAGUGGGGAAUAUUCGGCAAUGGGCGAAAGCCUGAUCGAGCAACACCGCGUGAGUGAUGAAGGUCUUCGGGUCGUAAAGCUCUGUUGUUAGGAAAGAACAACAGUGUGUUUAACUGUGCACGUUCUGACGGUACCCAAAGAAUAAGCCACGGCUAACUUCGUG